CUCUUGUCAGUUUAUCAACAAAAAAUAUCAAGCAGAUAAUCUGACAUUUGACACUCCAACAAAGAUUGCAAAUGUCCCACGAACUGUAUUGAAGCGAUUGACGGAACCCACGUGGAUGCAUGAAUAUUCAAUAUUGAAAAGAUUACAUACAUAUGGACGGUGUGGAUCACCCACACAAUGUGAUUGUCGAAAGAUAACUCCAGGAUUUCUGGGACCUCUGAACAAGUGUUCUGCCACUGUGGACUACAAAAUUCCAUACUGACGUCACGUCAGACACAUAGCUACG